rnacentral:rRNA from 1 species
GUAGGUGGCAAGCGUUGUCCGGAAUUAUUGGGCGUAAAGCGCGCGCAGGUGGUUCUUUAAGUCUGAUGUGAAAGCCCCCGGGCUCAACCGGGGAGGGUCAUUGGAAACUGGGGAACUUGAGUGCAGGAGAGGAAAGUGGAAUUCCACGUGUAGCGGUGAAAUGCGUAGAUAUGUGGAGGAACACCAGUGGCGAAGGCGACUUUCUGGCCUGUAACUGACACUGAGGCGCGAAAGCGUGGGGAGCAAACAGGAUUAGAUACCCUGGUAGUCCACGCCGUAAACGAUGAGUGCUAAGUGCUGGGGGGUUUCCGCCCCUCAGUGCUGCAGCUAACGCAUUAAGCACUCCGCCUGGGGAGUACGGUCGCAAGACUG